UUUCCACGUAUGCCAAACACACAUCACACGUGCAAAUCGAGUUCAUUUAAUUAUUGUUGAUGUAGUUUUUGCUUUUGUUGUCUAUUUUUGUAUGAAUCCCAUUAAUAAACCAUAGACAUAUGUAAAUAUGGAUUUAUAGAGAUGAAAAGGAAGGGUAUCGGCCAAUACCAACAGUGGAAAAAGCAAAAGGUGCCCAUGCAAGUUGGUCGCUCGUCGCGCAAUAUAUGGAUAUGGAUUGGCAAUGGCCAU
rnacentral:lncRNA from 1 species